UACAGCCGUUGCACACGAGUCAGUCGAUCCUAAGCCCUAGGAGAAAUCCGAUGUCGAUGGGGGCCGUCAUAGCAUGAUGCCUAUUUGUGCUGGCCCCCGUUGGGCGAAAGGGAAUCCGGUU
rnacentral:rRNA from 1 species